GUAGCGGGGAAGGAAGCCACGGCUAACUACGUGCCAGCAGCCGCGGUAAUACGUAGGUGGCGAGCGUUGUUCGGAUUUAUUGGGCGUAAAGGGUCUGUAGGAGGUUCGUUAAAUACGAGGUGAAAUCCCGAAGCUCAACUUCGGAACUGCCUUGUAGACUGACGGACUAGAGUACCGGAGAGGUAAGCGGAAUACCAGGUGUAGCGGUGGAAUGCGUAGAUAUCUGGUAGAACACCAAUAGCGAAGGCAGCUUGCUGGACGGAAACUGACUCUGAAAGACGAAAGCAUGGGGAGCAAACAGGAUUAGAUACCCUGGUAGUCCAUGCCGUAAACGUUGUCAACCUGAUGUGGGGGGAUUUAGUCCUCUCCGUAUCGAAGCUAACGCGAUAAGUUGACCGCCUGGGGA
rnacentral:rRNA from 1 species